rnacentral:lncRNA from 1 species
CCUUGCCCAAAACAAAACUGGUGUCUCGUCUCCAGUUGGGACCAGAGAAUACAGAGAUACCACAUAUGGUUGAAGGAAGGUAUAUUAUGCAUGAACAAGCGGUCAACAUUGAGGAAAAGAGCAGCUCACUGCCCUCUUCAGUAGAGAAGUAUCCUACUGCAUUCCGUACAGCAGUUUACAGAACAGGCACAGAAAGGAAACACAAAACAACAGCAAAGGAAGGAAAGAUAGGCUUUGAAUAUGCACUCUCAAGAAAACUGAGAGAGUCUCCUGAAAUGGCUCAGUGCGAGACGAUGAUAUCCUUAGAGCUCAAGAGUGACACUGGAAAAAAACAUUCCAUGAUACCUGUUCAUGAAAAAGUUCAACAUGUUGUUGGCACAUCAGCGUCUUCUUCCAUAGAUAGUGAAGGAAAGUAUAAUGAACAUAAGCUUAAAAUGGCAGAAAAAGAAGGCGAGAGAAAAUUAAAUUUGUGUUUU